rnacentral:rRNA from 2 species
UCUGGUGUCAGCCGCCGCGGUAAAACCAGCACCUCAAGUGGUCAGGAGGAUUAUUGGGCCUAAAGCAUCCGUAGCCUGUCCUGUAAGUUUCCGGUUAAAUCCAUUUGCUCAACAAAUGGGCUGCCGGAAAUACUACAAGACUAGGGAGUGGGAGAGGUAGACGGUACUCGGUAGGAAGGGGUAAAAUCCUUUGAUCUAUUGAUGACCACCUGUGGCGAAGGCGGUCUACCAGAACACGUUCGACGGUGAGGGAUGAAAGCUGGGGGAGCAAACCGGAUUAGAUACCCGGGUAGUCCCAGCUGUAAACGAUGCAGACUCGGUGAUGCCCUGGCUUGUGGCCAGUGCAGUGCCGCAGGGAAGCCGUUAAGUUUGCCGCCUGGGAAGUACGUACGCAAGUAUGAAACUUAAAG